rnacentral:lncRNA from 1 species
UACGUUGCUUACAGCCAAUUUGAUGCUUCACGCCAAGCUUUUUCUCCAUCUUUCCCAAGGCCAAAUCAUUUCUGUUUUUUUUCUUCUUUUUUUCUUCAUUUAAUUUUAUUAAAUUAAACUUCUCUUCAUUCCAACAUGCACCAUCUUUCGAUAACUUCGGAAGAAAUUUAUCCCUAUUUCUCGACUUGCUUGAAAAAUAGAGAAAGAUACAUAUUACCAUAAAACUAAAAAGUGUUAUUGUGUUAAGUUUUAGUAAUAUAUUCUAGUUUUUGUGUGUUUUUUUUUUUUUUGGGAAUGUGUAUAGAAUGAUGUAUAUACUAUGCUUUUGGGAACUUUGAGUGUAAGCCAAGUCGUCUUUUUAAA